rnacentral:lncRNA from 1 species
GGCGGCGGCUGGCUUGGACGGCGGUUGUGAGCGGCGGACGUGGCGGUUACUGGUUCACACGGCGGCUCGGGCUUCGACGAAGACAGAACCGGCUGAGACGGCUGGGCAGCGGCGGAAGAGCAACGGCUGCAGCGGCGGAAGGUCUUGCGGUACAGAUCUGGACGGCGGUCGCAAGGUGACGCGUACGGCGGCCGCAAGGUGACGCGUACGGCGGCCGCAAGGUGACGCGUACGGCUGCCUCGCGAACUGGCCGAUGGUUGCAGCGACGUCCGGCUGGGUUUGGACGGAACGGAGAGGAAAAGAGAAGAUGGAGAUGGCCGACGGCGGUUGCUGUGCGAACGGAUGGGGCGGCUGGCUGCGGUUGGCUGCGGCAGGACGGGAAGAAGAAUAGGGAAAUGGGUGGGCGGCUGCUAGGGUACCGG